UGGGGAAUAUUGCACAAUGGGCGGAAGCCUGAUGCAGCGACGCCGCGUGAGGGAUGACGGCCUUCGGGUUGUAAACCUCUUUCAGCAGGGACGAAGCCGCAAGGUGACGGUACCUGCAGAAGAAGCGCCGGCCAACUACGUGCCAGCAGCCGCGGUAAGACGUAGGGCGCGAGCGUUGUCCGGAUUUAUUGGGCGUAAAGAGCUCGUAGGCGGCUUGUCGCGUCGACCGUGAAAACUUGGGGCUCAACCCCAAGCCUGCGGUCGAUACGGGCAGGCUAGAGUUCGGUAGGGGAGACUGGAAUUCCUGGUGUAGCGGUGAAAUGCGCAGAUAUCAGGAGGAACACCGGUGGCGAAGGCGGGUCUCUGGGCCGAUACUGACGCUGAGGAGCGAAAGCGUGGGGAGCGAACAGGAUUAGAUACCCUGGUAGUCCACGCUGUAAACGUUGGGCGCUAGGUGUGGGGAGCCUCUCCGGUUCUCUGUGCCGCAGCUAACGCAUUAAGCGCCCCGCC
rnacentral:rRNA from 1 species